GCCCGGGUGGUGAAAUUGGUAGACACGCCAUCUUGAGGGGGUGGUGACCUUAUGGUCGUGCUGGUUCGAAUCCAGUUCCGGGCA
rnacentral:tRNA from 2 species